UGGGAACAUUGUUUAUGAGACAUCGAAUGUGUUUGACCGGAUGGUGGUUGUGCUAAAUGACAUUCAUAUUGACAUCAUGGAUUAUAUAUCCCCUGCAGUGUGCAGUGAUGCUGCUUUUAGAACCAUGUGGGCAGAAUUUGAGUGGGAAAACAAGGUUGCUGUCAACACUGUCAUUCAAGAUGAAAAAGGAUUUCUUGACCAUAUUAUCAAAUCAACCAACAUGAAGUGUCUGACUGCACCAUCUGCUCUGGAAGAUGAAUGUGGAUUCCUUGCUGCUAAUCUUUAUGCAAAGAGUGUGUUUGGAGAGGAUGCUUUGGUGAAUUUGAGCAUUGAAAAGCAAUCAGAUGGUAAGCUGAGUGGUUAUAUUAGAAUAAGAAGCAAAACACAAGGAAUUGCUCUUAGCUUGGGAGACAAAAUAACACUCAAGCAGAAGGGAGGCAAUUGAUCUUAUUGUGUUGUUAUGGUCCUCUCCUAGACAGCAAAGGUCAUUAAAACAUGAAACUGAGACUCCUUCACAUCUCCCAUUUGUAGCUUGGAGGAGUGCUGGGGUUAUUGAGUUAAAAACCUGUAGAAAUUGUAUUACUGCACUUACUUUUAGAUUCGGAUCCGCGAAAUUCGAGCAUUUUACUCUUCUUUGAGGACAUUUUUUGGUAGAGAAAAUUGGAAAGAGAGUAGUGCUGCUUUAUCUCUGUGUUGUAAGUUAACUGAAUUUGGUACAAGUCACUCUUUGCUUGUUACUUUCUGUUAACUUCCAAUUCCUGAUUUCCAUUUUUUUUUUUGUAAACAAAGGUCAACUCAGUUUCCAUUGCCAUAUUAUAUAUUGAAAUUUU
rnacentral:misc_RNA from 1 species